rnacentral:rRNA from 1 species
GACGAACGCUGGCGGCGUGCCUAAUACAUGCAAGUUGAGCGCUGAAGGUUGGUACUUGUACCGACUGGAUGAGCAGCGAACGGGUGAGUAACGCGUGGGGAAUCUGCCUUUGAGCGGGGGACAACAUUUGGAAACGAAUGCUAAUACCGCAUAAAAACUUUAAACACAAGUUUUAAGUUUGAAAGAUGCAAUUGCAUCACUCAAAGAUGAUCCCGCGUUGUAUUAGCUAGUUGGUGAGGUAAAGGCUCACCAAGGCGAUGAUACAUAGCCGACCUGAGAGGGUGAUCGGCCACAUUGGGACUGAGACACGGGCCAAAAUCCUAAGGGAGGCAGCAGUAGGGAAUCUUCGGCAAUGGACGAAAGUCUGACCGAGCAACGCCGCGUGAGUGAAGAAGGGUCUCGGAUCGUAAAACUCUGUUGGUAGAGAAGAAAGUUGGUGAGAGUGGAAAGCUCAUAAAGUGACGGUAACUACCCAGAAAGGGACGGCUAACUACGUG